AAAUGGUGUCCUCUGUUCACUGAGGAAAUGACUUUUAUUCUGUCAGCUAUUAAUGUUCGAUCAAAUAAUUAUUUUCUUCUUCUUUUUUUCGCAGAAAAUCCGAACCAUUUCAAGAAUAACACAGGGUUUGCUGAUCUGAUGUUGCAAUUCAAGAGACAGUUGCUCGGUAUAACAAAGCAUCCCUUAACUCAUACAGCCCUAACAGAAAAAAAUUGGUUUCACUAUGCUUCGAAAGUAUGGGAUGGUAUAAAGAAGAGUCCAUUUUAUUCGGAAUACAGCAGACUUUUGCCGUGAUGGUUUAUCUGGAUAUAUUUCUUUGGAUGAAGUCUUUGCUGAAUCGUUGACCUCUGAGGUAAGAAAUUUAAUCCAUUCUAUGCUCGUUGAAUGUACUUGCCCAAGAGGUAAUAAAAACGAGUUGAAAGAUAUGACAAUAAUAAAUUAGAAAAUCGUGCCUGCAGUCGCUGCAAUACUUUCUUUUGUCAGGACUGUGUGUCGAUUUUCCUAACUGAAUCAAAUCUAAAAUAAAAAAUCCCUUCAAAUGCGUUUUACAUUCCACCAAAACAUGAAGUUGCAUAUGAAAGUAAAAUUCGUCACAGUGUUUUUUACUCAUGUACAAUAGAUAAGGGGGCUCAAGUGUAUGUUUAAAUUUGGAAGAGAAAUGCUCUAGAAAGAUGACAAUUCUUUUUUUUUCAAAAAUCCACGUAAUUUAUUUGAAAAAAAGAAAAAAAGAAUCACUUAGAAACAAGAAUCAGCAGAUCAGAAACAAAACAUAUAAAAAGAAACAGAACGAAACAAGAAACAAAUAAAGCUCAAAAUCUAAUCACAUUUAUCUUCCACGUUUAGCAGUCCAUUAUCCAUCUUUCUUAAGACUUACUUAAGUAAGGAUAUUUAGUGCUAAGUCGUUAGGAAGAUAAAAGACAAAAACGAUAAUAACCUAUGAGCUUUGCUGGCUGAUUUUGAAAGUUAACACACAGGAAGACUAAGUUAAAAUACAGAAGCUUUGUCGGAAGGUUUUGUUCGAAAUGGAUCUCUCUUUGCAUAUUUUUGUUUAAAAAUACAGAGCAUACAGACAGUGAAACUGCAGUAAAGCGUAUUAUAGUUUGUGACAUUGCUAACUUCCUGUAAUACUCUAUUUCUGAAGUGGGAAAUCUCGCAACGAUCUCUCUUGAAUACGUCCUAGAUUUUUCUUUCAUGUGUGAGGAUUAAUCUUUGGAAAUUCUAAGUAAUAGCGUUGGUUUGUUCCCAUUUGAUAAAAUGAAACAGGAGCGUAGGUUUUGAAAUACCACAAGCAAGACAAACGUUCCUGCAGUUUCUUCGUCUAUUCAUCACGAAUUUUUAGAUCUAAUUUUGUUCUUGUUAUAUCAGCCAACUUAUCAAUAAAAACCAGCCAAGUAAGGUUGAUAGGUAAAUAUUGCACAAAUUAUUUCACAUCACCAUUUUCUUUUUCGAAAGUAAUAUUCUCCUCAAAGAAAACUUUUAGAAGCUUUUAAGAUUCAUUUAACUUAUACUCUAAUGAAAAUAAAUGAUUGAUAUGUAGCGAUUUUCUCACUCCUGCAAUUAGAACUGCAUAUUAAUCGAUUAUCUUGGUAUGUUUAAUAGGCCACCUGACAAGGUUGGCCCUGAAUAACAACCCUCCUUCAAGUACAUAUAAUUUUGCUGUUAUUCUCGUCGAGUUCCUCAUUCAGUUUUGAUUACCAAAGAAUUUAAAUUUCAUAAUAUUUUUUCAGUGUCUCUGAAACUCAUACUAAAAUAGGAUGAUCUUUAUUCGCUCAUCUCCAGUUAACUAUUUACAUCAGUCUGAUAAGUCGUGCCUUCAGAAAAAAAAUAUUAAAACACGUCUUUUCCUCUCUGUACAAAUCACAAAGGAGUUUGUGUAAUCUACUAACUAAAAAUUACAAUCUAUCAUAAUCUUCAUGUUACAAUUAUGAAAACUGAAGUAUAAUUUAUCUACAUAGAUUCAUACAAAAUAGUUUGUGUUUUUGCUGUAUCGGGAAUAUUAGUCAUAAAGGUUUUUGUUCUUUGGCUGAGCAGGAGUAUAUUAUGUGACAUCAAAUGUGUUGGUAGUUCAAUCGUUUUGUUUUCUGAGUGUUGAACUUUGCUUUCACUUCUUAUGAGGAUUAUAACUUUAUCGUUUGGAAAAUUUCUAUCGCAUGACAUUGAAAAACAACCAUACGUUACGAAGACAGUGGAGGUUACUCGAAUGAAGUAAAUUCAACUUGUGAAAUGGAGCAAAUUCAACUGUAACUUUUAGUAAAUGUGGAUUUGGUUAGAAAGGUCUAAACCUUCAUCUCAUUCCAAACAAAUCAAGUCGAUUGUCGGACUGACUGUCUAGAAUCAUAAUUAUUUCCUGAAGAUGGAAGGAAAGCAUCUUGAAACUACCUCUAAAUUACACACAGUAAGAGGAUUCAGAGUUUUCCAAAUAUUUUCACCCUUCCUGUUGUUGAAAGCAAGAAUGUAUCAUACUUAAUUCUUGAGAUGUGGGCAUCCAUCUAUGACCAAAAAAUAGGCCAUUUUGUGACAUUUUUUACAAAUUGAAUCUGUACACCCAUUAUCUUAAAGUGCGGCCAAGCCUCUUGGCUACUGUAUUCAAAAUUUAAAUUUUUUAGUCUUACGUAGGCAAAGUAUCCUACGAUAGAUAAGCCUAGUCCUUUUUAAACUUUAUAUUUCCAGCAUCAAUUUUGAAUGGUUUGAUAAUGCCAUAUUGAAAAUACCAUAUAAUGAAUGUUGAUUUUCUUGUAAUUGAAGAUUACUCAAGAAAAGAAAAGCAAUCAAUCUGUAGUUGAGACAUUCUCACUUCGGACAAAAGUUUACAAGUUCAACUUUCUCGUUUAUUUGGCCACUUUCUACAGUCAAUCUUGGACAUAAAGUUUUUACGGUCAAAUCAAAAUUUUUUCGUGCAUUACUCUCAAGUUUUCGAUCAGUUUUAAUUUUACCCUCAUUGAUAGACGCUUCUCAAGAAAGGUUUCCGGCGGGUUUGAAUAGGCUUGUAUGAGUGCUGGUACACAGAAGCAAGUCGCCAGUGCUCGGGAUAAUCCUGCCCAGUCGUUCCUGGCCACAGCGAGAAUGGUGGCACUAGAGUUCCGAUCGAGUAACUUCUCUUUGCGAACGGAGUCUUCGGUUUCGGAAUGU
rnacentral:lncRNA from 1 species